CGGGACGUAGCGCAGUCUGGUAGCGCACCUGAAUGGGGUUCAGGUGGCCGCUGGUUCGAAUCCAGUCGUCCCGACCA
rnacentral:tRNA from 1 species